rnacentral:tRNA from 1 species
GGCCCGGUGGGCUGCGAACCGGUCGGCUGUGGGCCGGUCGGCUGUGGGCCGGUCGGCUGCGGCGGGUUCGGAUUCGGCGGCGGGUUG